CGAGGUGUAGCGCAGCUGGUAGCGCGCCUGUUUUGGGAACAGGAUGCCGCAGGUUCAAGUCCUGUCACCUCGACCA
rnacentral:tRNA from 1 species